ACCUGGCUACCAGCUGUCAGGCAGUGCUGUCAGGCCGUGCACUUCGGGGAAUUUACCACCCAAACCGAUUAAGAAUUCCGGACGGGGGGAGGGCAUGGUGCUGUAUAAAAGCACUUGUUCCAGCGGCUCCUUCAACCACCCCCUCAGCCAAAGCGAACAAGUCCCUUUUUGAAGCCUGAUUUCAGGUACAUUCUUUAUGAUCCUCCUCUACCCGUGGCAGCUGCUCAACCCAGGGCUGCGAAUAAUAUCUGCUCGAAGACCUUUUGUCUUCAAGUUUCCGCCUGGCUGGUUUUCAAAAGCUUUCCCAACCCGUGCUUCAGCCCAUCCUUUGCAGGCACAUUCUGUAAGUAGAAAUACAGGAAGACACAAUAGGCAAGAAACAGCCUGUUGUCAAAAACACAAGUGAUUGGGAGACAGAAAUCACUUCCUCAAGCAGCAAGUUCCCACUCUGGGGUCAGAGGUUUAUGAAAUGGCAUUUGUUGCUUCAACGGUUACAAACAUCAAGUGCAAUGGAAGAAUAUUAGAAAAAUAGGGAGAGGUGUCUUCUUCCUUCCUGCUGGCUAGAAUGAGGAUAUGAUGGUUGGAGCUCAAGUGACCGACUUGGACCAUGAGAAGGAAGCAUAAAGGGCCGAUGACAAAUCAACAACACAGAGUCUGGCUCCCUGAUGAUUGUGGAGCUGUCAUGCCAGCCCUGGACUUCUCAACAGUGAGUUUCUUUAGAAAAAAGAGAAAUAAACAUCCAUCUUGUUUAAGCCAUCUUUAUUUGGGGUUUUCUCUCUCUUGCAGUUGAACUUAUUCCUAACUGAUGUGCUCUUCUUCCUGCCCUUCUCUUUUCCAUCCUUCGCCUCUGACAGAAUUGCUCCAAGUUUUUGGACAAGUUUGGUGUUGUUCAAUUUCUGCACUAGUGACAUUUUGUUUUGGAUAAUUACUUGUUGUGGGGACUGACUGGUGCGUUGUAGGAUGUUUAGAAACAUCCCUGGCCUCUACCCACUAGAUGCCAGUAGCUCCU